AUAACUGUGAUUGUAAGUGGUUGUACCUUCAAAGGGGAUUGAAGUAGCGUAAAUUAGUUGCCUCCUUGAGAAGGUACGUAUAGUUCCGGAAAAUUUAAAG